rnacentral:rRNA from 1 species
UACGUAGGGUGCAAGCGUUAAUCGGAAUUACUGGGCGUAAAGCGUGCGCAGGCGGUUUUGUAAGCCAGAUGUGAAAUCCCCGGGCUUAACCUGGGAAUGGCAUUUGGGACUGCAAGGCUGGAGUGCGGCAGAGGAGACUGGAAUUCCUGGUGUAGCAGUGAAAUGCGUAGAUAUCAGGAGGAAUACCGAUGGCGAAGGCAGGUCUCUGGGCUGACACUGACGCUCAUGCACGAAAGCGUGGGUAGCAAACAGG